GACGAACGCUGGCGGCGUGCUUAACACAUGCAAGUCGAACGGAAAGGCCCUGCUUUUGUGGGGUGCUCGAGUGGCGAACGGGUGAGUAACACGUGAGUAACCUGCCCUUGACUUUGGGAUAACUUCAGGAAACUUGGGCUAAUACCGGAUAGGAGCUCCUGCUGCAUGGUGUGGGUUGGAAAGUUUCGGCGGUUGGGUAUGGACUCGCGGCUUAUCAGCUUGUUGGUGGGGUAGUGGCUUACCAAGGCUUUGACGGGUAGCCGGCCUGAGAGGGUGACCGGCCACAUUGGGACUGAGAUACGGCCCAGACUCCUACGGGAGGCAGCAGUGGGGAAUAUUGCACAAUGGGCGGAAGCCUGAUGCAGCAACGCCGCGUGCGGGAUGACGGCCUUCGGGUUGUAAACAGCUUUCGCAUGUGACGAAGCGUGAGUGACGGUAAUGGGUAAAGAAGCACCGGCUAACUACGUG
rnacentral:rRNA from 1 species